rnacentral:rRNA from 1 species
UACGUAGGGGCAAGCGUUGUCCGGAUUUAUUGGGCGUAAAGAGCGUGUAGGCGGCCAUACAGGUCCGUUGUGAAAACUCGAGGCUCAACCUCGAGACGUCGAUGGAAACCGUAUGGCUAGAGUCCGGAAGAGGAGAGUGGAAUUCCUGGUGUAGCGGUGAAAUGCGCAGAUAUCAGGAAGAACACCUAUAGCGAAGGCAGCUUGCUGGGACGGUACUGACGCUAAGGCGCGAAAGCGUGGGGAGCGAACAGG